UACGGAGGGUGCAAGCGUUAUCCGGAUUUAUUGGGUUUAAAGGGUGCGUAGGUGGCCUGUUAAGUCAGGGGUGAAAGACGGUAGCUCAACUAUCGCAGUGCCUUUGAUACUGACGGGCUUGAAUACAGUUGAAGUGGGCGGAAUGUGACAAGUAGCGGUGAAAUGCAUAGAUAUGUCACAGAACACCGAUUGCGAAGGCAGCUCACUAAAGUGUGAUUGACACUGAGGCACGAAAGCGUGGGGAUCAAACAGG
rnacentral:rRNA from 1 species